UGGGGAAUAUUGGACAAUGGGCGAAAGCCUGAUCCAGCCAUGCCGCGUGUGUGAAGAAGGUCUUCGGAUUGUAAAGCACUUUAAGUUGGGAGGAAGGGCAGUAAGCGAAUACCUUGCUGUUUUGACGUUACCGACAGAAUAAGCACCGGCUAACUCUGUGCCAGCAGCCGCGGUAAUACAGAGGGUGCAAGCGUUAAUCGGAAUUACUGGGCGUAAAGCGCGCGUAGGUGGUUCGUUAAGUUGAAUGUGAAAGCCCCGGGCUCAACCUGGGAACUGCAUCCAACACUGGCGAGCGAGAGUAGGGCAGAGGGUGGUGGAAUUUCCUGUGUAGCGGUGAAAUGCGUAGAUAUAGGAAGGAACACCAGUGGCGAAGGCGACCACCUGGGCUCAUACUGACAAUGAGGUGCGAAAGCGUGGGGAGCAAACAGG
rnacentral:rRNA from 1 species